UUCAAUCCGAUUCGCCAAAACCAGAGCUUGGACUCUCCUAUCUGCUUUCCUCUUCUAUUGAUCAAACAUGGUGUCGGCACACCGGAAACCACCCGGAUCAGGACUUUUCGCAUUUCCACGAUUUCUACAUGAGCGGCGGCGGAUAGCAAUCUGCUUCCGGGUUUGGAUGAUCCGAAAGCCUUACACGAUCACCAAGUCAAGAGAGAGCUGGAGUGAUCAAGAGCAUGAUAAAUUUGUCGAAGCGCUUCAGUUAUUUGACCGUGACUGGAAAAAGAUUGAAGCAUUUAUUGGGUCAAAGACAGUUAUCCAGAUACGUAGCCAUGCCCAAAAGUAUUUUCUGAAAGUCCAGAAGAAUGGUACAAGCGAGCAUGUGCCUCCUCCGCGUCCAAAGAGAAAAGCUUCUCAUCCUUAUCCGCAGAGGGCCUCGAAAAAUGUUCUACCUCGAACAGCAGGUCCUGUACAAUCUUCUGUUGCUAGAGUGGAGACUGGAUACGCUGUAAGGCGCAAUCCGUUUUCAACUCCCAGAAAUCCUAUCAGUGGUUCACCAUUGUCUUCUUGGAAUUACAAUGUUGUGCCAGCAGGAUGUUUGUCAAAUGUUGCAAAAGAUGAUGUCAGAUUAGCCAGUGCUGCCAAUAAUUAUUGCACCAGCAGCAAUGAUAGCACUCUGUGUCUGUGGAAAUCUAAUGAGAUGGAUCAUGAAUUGAAAGCGACAUUGUGCACCACAAAGAGAGUUAUGCCGGAUUUCGCUCAAGUUUAUGGUUUCAUUGGCAGCGUCUUCGAUCCUACCACAACCGAUCAAUUGCAAAGGCUGAGGAAAAUGGAGCCUAUAAAUGUUGAGACGGUACUGAUGUUGAUGAAGAACCUCUGCGUCAAUUUGGUGACCCCUGAAUUUGAGAAUCAUAGAAAGUUGCUCUCUUCAUAUAAAAUAGCAACUGAAAAUGUCCGUGCUGGGAGUGAGAUCCCGUCUGCAUAGAGUCCUCAAAAGGCAUUAUCUGAAGAACCUUCAGAGCUUGUUAUGUUCCAAGGGCAAAAUGGGUGUUUUGGAUGACUGGCAACUACAGCUCUCAUGCGGACAGUCACUAUGAUCCUAGUGCGUUAUGGGAAAUAAAGGGGAUCAACAACAGGGACGUGAUGGCGAAGAAGGCCAAGAAGAAUCUGUGCCGUGCAGUGCGGUUGAGAGGCUCACGAGUGUAGUCUGCUACCCGAUAAGGGACUUUCCCACAGAUACUUUACCUAUUGAUGAUCUAGAAGAACUCCUUGUAGAACUCUAGUUCUUAAAGACUGUGAUCUAAUUAAAUGAAACAAGCAAUGCACAUAUGCACGAUGAUGUUAUUCA